rnacentral:tRNA from 1 species
GUUAUCAUAGCUUAGUGGUAAAGCAAAGCACUGUUAAUGCUUCUACAGAAGUUCAAUUCUUCUUGAUAACG